rnacentral:tRNA from 1 species
GGUGCAGUAGGUUAAAGCCCCGGCCUGCAGUGCCGGCACCCAAUAUGGGUUCAAGUCCCAGCUGCUCCA